UCCGGGGUGCUCUGACGGCUGGGCAGCCGCGCUUUGGACGCGGUCUACGUGGGUUCGAGUCCUACCCCCGGAG
rnacentral:tRNA from 1 species